GUAGAAAAGAAAAGGAAGAGGAAGAGUGAAAAGAAGAACAAGAAGAGGAACAAGACAAGAAGAAGAACAAGAUGAGGAAGGAGGAGGAAGAGGCAGAGCAGAAGAAACUGAACAGGAAGAGGAGGAGGAACAGCAUGAGAAGGAAAAGCAGGAGCAGUAUAUAUGGAAGAGGAUGGUGAGGACAAGAAUAAGGAGUGGGAGGAGGAGGGGGAAGAAAUUCCUGCUGGAAGAUAGAAAGGUAGGAUAACGGAGGACAGGCAUAUUUGAUACUGAAACACAAAUUUGCAGAUCAUAAAAGGGUCAACUCCUGGAUUAGAAUGGUGGCCCAGGAAACCUUAAGCUGAUGUGUCCCUUCAGCACAAUCUAGCCCUAAGAGAGGUGCUUAUGUCACUCAGGAUUCGCUGGCCAAUCAGGGCCUCCAGGAAGACCCUCCAAGCAGAAGAAGAGGGUUCUUCUUGGUGCUUUGUUCCCUGCUGCUGGUUCAGCUCUAUUGCUGAGCAGGCAUUUAAGGUUGGUGUAAUGUGUUUUGACAUCUCCAGUGAGUGCUUUCCGGAGUGCCAGCCCUGAGCUACUAAGUCUCAUCAUGGUGAGCAUGUGACCACUGCCCCUAACCUGAAUUAUCAGAGGACUGAGGAUGGGGAGGUGGCCCUCCGUGGGCUGGGUGGAAAUUAGCAGCCAUUUUGGAGGUUCCUUAUGGUCCUAGCCACUAGGUGUUUUCAUGCGUUUCAAAUGAAUAACUUCAGUAUGGGAGCUGCAUCUGCACAAAGCAUUUGGUACAAGGGAUUUCGCAUAGACCCGUCUUUGACAAGAUUCCAAAUUCGGAGAUCUAGUUCUUUAGUAUCCUGUAGACAUUAUUCCUUGCCAUUUAAGAUCUAUGUGGAGUUAAUUUUGUGUGUGUGGAUAGAGGGGGUGUUGAAAACCACAUCUCACAGGUUGGUUAGCACACGAAAUUUAAUCUGCGGUGGGAAGAGUAGAAUCUUUGAUGUAAAGGAUUUUGCACUGCUUAGGAAAUAGUAAGAGGCACUGUGGAUUGCUCUAAUGCUGUUUGUAUUUUGAUGCUAAUUCCACUUCACCAAGAGGGGCUGCCUAGAAUGAGGACUAUUUCACAUACUCAAGUGACUUUAUUGGAAUCUUCUCCACAUUUUAACUUGUAAAAUAAAGGCUAGUGCAGGUGAUUGGAAAGGUAGAGCUGAAAAGCUUUUGGGAGAAGGAGAGAAGUGAGGGAAG
rnacentral:lncRNA from 1 species